UACGUAGGGUGCAAGCGUUAAUCGGAAUUACUGGGCGUAAAGCGUGCGCAGGCGGUUUUGUAAGUUCGUUGUGAAAGCCCCCGGGCUCAACCUGGGAACUGCAAUGGAAACUGGCGGGCUUGAAUGCGGCAGAGGGGGGUGGAAUUCCGCGUGUAGCAGUGAAAUGCGUAGAGAUGCGGAGGAACACCGAUGGCGAAGGCAGCCCCCUGGGCCGACAUUGACGCUCAGGCACGAAAGCGUGGGGAGCAAACAGG
rnacentral:rRNA from 1 species